GUGUCAGCCGCCGCGGUAAGACGAACCGUGCGAACGUUGUUCGGAUUCACUGGGCUUAAAGGGCGCGUAGGCGGACGGUCAAGUCAGGGGUGAAAUCUUUCAGCUCAACUGGAAAAGUGCCUCUGAUACUGAUCGUCUCGAGGGAGGUAGGGGCAUGUGGAACUUCCGGUGGAGCGGUGAAAUGCGUUGAUAUCGGAAGGAACGCCGGUGGCGAAAGCUGCGUGCUGGCCCAUAACUGACGCUGAGGCGCGAAAGCUAGGGGAGCAAACAGGAUUAGAUACCCCAGUAGUCC
rnacentral:rRNA from 1 species